rnacentral:rRNA from 1 species
UACGUAGGGUGCAAGCGUUGUCCGGAUUUAUUGGGCGUAAAGAGCUUGUAGGCGGUUUGUCGCGUCUGCUGUGAAAUUUCGGGGCUCAACCCCGAACUUGCAGUGGGUACGGGCAGACUAGAGUGUGGUAGGGGAGACUGGAAUUCCUGGUGUAGCGGUGAAAUGCGCAGAUAUCAGGAGGAACACCGAUGGCGAAGGCAGGUCUCUGGGCCAUAACUGACGCUGAGAAGCGAAAGCGUGGGGAGCGAACAGG